CACAGCUCGGAUCUCCUCCUGUGGAUCCCCCCAGCUCUGCGAUGAUGGCAGAAGAGCACACAGAUCUCGAGGCCCAGAUCGUCAAGGAUAUCCACUGCAAGGAGAUUGACCUGGUGAACCGAGACCCCAAGAACAUUAACGAGGACAUAGUCAAGACUGGAGAAAAUGGAAAAAGAGAAUACCCUGGAGGAAUCUGGAGCUCUCAAACACUUCUGAUAACACCCUGCUGGUUACUGAUCAUACCUGUUGAUGAAUUCCAAAAGAGCAGUUGCUAUCUCAAAGGCAAGCAAGGUCAUGGAGGGCAGGAAAAGCACAACCCUGAAUGCAGAACGAGCACCACCAGGGUCUUGAAACCUUACAAACAACUUCAUAAAUCCUGCACUGGGCUUCCUUCUUGACCAUACAGGCUUCCUAUCAAAUAUGAAUGAAGAGGAGGUGGACUGUAUUACAAAAUUAAUAAUGUAAGAUGGUGGCUGCCAAAGCCAUUCAUAAUCAUAAUUGCUUUUGCAUGUGUUUUCUUGAAAGCAAUUUCAUAUUUGUCAGCAACUAGGAAUGAAGGCGCUUCCUUUGAUACUUAUAUGUACAGGCACAAAAUAGAGUUGAACUUUGCUGCACACAAUAAAUGUGUUGUGAAAAUAUGUGUUUGAAGUCUAAUAAACAGACUUUUAUUUUGCCCAUGU
rnacentral:sRNA from 1 species